CGGUAUGUACACUUUCACUUUUUAUUGCAAUUUACCAAACAAAUAAAUAAAUAAAAUCAGAUAAAAACUCUUGUAUAAAAUCACAAUGCGUUUCACCAACAAGCUUUUUCAAGUGACGAUGCUUUUUAUUUAUUUAUUUUAUCAUUUCACCUUUGGUUAUACAAUAUCACACUAUUGGUUCUCCCUAUAUGUUUAUUGUCUUGACAUUUCACGAAACCUAUAUGAAUCUGUGAGGAUAUUAGACUAUUCUUGCAAAUAGCAUAUCCACCAAGAUUCCUUCUACAUCACAAAUACUAUUUUGGGACUAUACUGUACCAUUUUCAAACCAAUCUUAAAGGAUUACUAUAG